rnacentral:rRNA from 1 species
AACGUAGGAGACAAACGUUAUCCGGAGUUACUGGGCGUAAAGGGCGUGUAGGUGGUUUCGUAAGUCUGGCGUGAAAUUUUUCGGCUUAACCGGGAAAGGUCGUCGGAUACUGCGGGACUAGAGGACGGUAGAGGCGUGUGGAAUUCCGGGUGUAGUGGUGAAAUGCGUAGAGAUCCGGAGGAACACCAGUGGCGAAGGCGACACGCUGGGCCGUACCUGACACUGAGAGACGAAAGCUAGGGGAGCAAAUGGG